GAUGAACGCUGGCGGCGUGCCUAACACAUGCAAGUCGAACGGAGCUGUUUUGAUGAAGUUUUCGGAUGGAUUUAAAACAGCUUAGUGGCGGACGGGUGAGUAACGCGUGGGUAACCUGCCUCACACUGGGGGAUAACAGUUAGAAAUAGCUGCUAAUACCGCAUAAGCGCACGGUUCCGCAUGGAACAGUGUGAAAAACUCCGGUGGUGUGAGAUGGACCCGCGUCUGAUUAGCCAGUUGGCGGGUAACGGCCCACCAAAGCGACGAUCAGUAGCCGCCUGAGAGGGUGAACGGCCACAUUGGGACUGAGACACGGCCCAAACUCCUACGGGAGGCAGCAGUGGGGAAUAUUGCACAAUGGGGGAAACCCUGAUGCAGCGACGCCGCGUGAGUGAAGAAGUAUUUCGGUAUGUAAAGCUCUAUCAGCAGGGAAGAAAAGUGACGGUACCUGAAUAAGAAGCCCCGGNUAACUACGUGCCAGCAGCCGC
rnacentral:rRNA from 1 species